GAUGAACGCUGGCGGCGUGCCUAAUACAUGCAAGUCGAGCGAACGGACGAGAAGCUUGCUUCUCUGAUGUUAGCGGCGGACGGGUGAGUAACACGUGGAUAACCUACCUAUAAGACUGGGAUAACUUCGGGAAACCGGAGCUAAUACCGGAUAAUAUUUUGAACCGCAUGGUUCAAAAGUGAAAGACGGUCUUGCUGUCACUUAUAGAUGGAUCCGCGCUGCAUUAGCUAGUUGGUAAGGUAACGGCUUACCAAGGCAACGAUGCAUAGCCGACCUGAGAGGGUGAUCGGCCGCACUGGAACUGAGACACGGCCCAGACUCCUACGGGAGGCAGCAGUAGGGAAUCUUCCGCAAUGGGCGAAAGCCUGACGGAGCAACGCCGCGUGAGUGAUGAAGGUCUUCGGAUCGUAAAACUCUGUUAUUAGGGAAGAACAUAUGUGUAAGUAACUGUGCACAUCUUGACGGUACCUAAUCAGAAAGCCACGGCUAACUACGUG
rnacentral:rRNA from 1 species